rnacentral:rRNA from 1 species
UAGGGAAUCUUCCACAAUGGACGCAAGUCUGAUGGAGCAACGCCGCGUGAGUGAAGAAGGUUUUCGGAUCGUAAAGCUCUGCUGUUGGUGAAGAAGGAUAGAGGCAGUAACUGGUCUUUAUUUGACGGUAAUCAACCAGAAAGUAACGGCUAACUACGUGCCAGCAGCCGCGGUAAUACGUAGGUGUCAAGCGUUGUCCGGAGUUACUUGGCGGAAAGCGAGCGCAGGCGGAACGAUAAGUCUGAUGUGAAAGCCCACGGCUCAACCGUGGAACUGCAUCGGAAACUGUCAUUCUUGAGUGCCGAAGAGGAGAGUGGAAUUCCAUGUGUAGCGGUGGAAUGCGUAGAUAUAUGGAAGAACACCAGUGGCGAAGGCGGCUCUCUGGUCUGCAACUGACGCUGAGGCUCGAAAGCAUGGGUAGCGAACAGG